GCCGAAUCUCUCACAGCAACCCAACGCUGUAACCUUGUUGGCGAACUUUCAGAACUUGGCGGAAAAGAUGUUAACUCUACAGUUCGCAGCAUCCUGAGCUACCUGAUGACGGACGAAGUGGCGCAAAAGUACAAUUGGGAAGGCCGUGGCAAGAAGAGCAGUUUCUCGAAGUUGAAUCUUCUGGGUGUCAUAUACUCAACUACAACGGGUAAUCGUAGGAUCCAGGGAGCAACCAAACAUGAUGUCAAGAGUGCAAUUGCAAGUUGGCUGCGGCAUACUAAGGAAAGAAGUGAAAAA